ensembl:lncRNA
UAUAUUUAAUAUUCCUGUAGAACUGUAAGAGAGAAUAUAUUUAACACAUCAUUUAAUAUUCCUGUAGAACUGUAAGAGAGAAUAUAUUUAAUAUUCCUGUAGAACUGUAAGAGAGAAUAUAUUUAACACAUCAUUUAAUAUUCCUGUAGAACUGUAAGAGAGAAUAUAGUCAACGGCUGCUGUCAAAAGGUGAUGGACGAGUUAUUCCUGUGUCCUGUGUUCAUGCCCUUUUAAGGACAUCCUGUCCGGAUAUCCUCAUGCUAUUUAGGGUAGGUUUAUGCCCUUUUAAGGACCUCCUGUCCAGAUAUCCUCAUGCUAUUUAGGGUGUGCUUAUGUAACUUGAUAGUGCAGCUGUUUCUUCAAAGUAAAGCAAAUGUUUGUAACAAAAAGUAAUGAUGAUUGAUGUGUGGGGAUCUUGUUGAACUGAAAGAAAAUGUGUUUGAACUGAUGGAGCUGCUGUGUAGUGACCUUGUGA